CGGGGGGGGUGCCAAUACAUGCAGUCGAGCGAACAGAAAAGGAGCUUGCUCCUUUGACGUUAGCGGCGGACGGGUGAGUAACACGUGGGCAACCUACCCUAUAGUUUGGGAUAACUCCGGGAAACCGGGGCUAAUACCGAAUAAUCUCUUUUGCUUCAUGGUGAAAGACUGAAAGACGGUUUCGGCUGUCGCUAUAGGAUGGGCCCGCGGCGCAUUAGCUAGUUGGUGAGGUAACGGCUCACCAAGGCGACGAUGCGUAGCCGACCUGAGAGGGUGAUCGGCCACACUGGGACUGAGACACGGCCCAGACUCCUACGGGAGGCAGCAGUAGGGAAUCUUCCACAAUGGGCGAAAGCCUGAUGGAGCAACGCCGCGUGAGUGAAGAAGGUUUUCGGAUCGUAAAACUCUGUUGUAAGGGAAGAACAAGUACAGUAGUAACUGGCUGUACCUUGACGGUACCUUAUUAGAAAGCCACGGCUAACUACGUGCCAGCAGCCGCGGUAAUACGUAGGUGGCAAGCGUUGUCCGGAAUUAUUGGGCGUAAAGCGCGCGCAGGCGGUCCUUUAAGUCUGAUGUGAAAGCCCACGGCUCAACCGUGGAGGGUCAUUGGAAACUGGGGGACUUGAGUGCAGAAGAGGAAAGUGGAAUUCCAAGUGUAGCGGUGAAAUGCGUAGAGAUUUGGAGGAACACCAGUGGCGAAGGCGACUUUCUGGUCUGUAACUGACGCUGAGGCGCGAAAGCGUGGGGAGCAAACAGGAUUAGAUACCCUGGUAGUCCACGCCGUAAACGAUGAGUGCUAAGUGUUAGGGGGUUUCCGCCCCUUAGUGCUGCAGCUAACGCAUUAAGCACUCCGCCUGGGGAGUACGGUCGCAAGACUGAACUCAAGGAAUUGACGGGGGCCCGCACAAGCGGAGGAGCAUGUGGUUUAAUUCGAAGCAACGCGAAGAAACUUACCUUACUUGACAUCCCGUUGACCACUGUAGAGAUAUAGUUGCCCCUCGGGGCACGGUGACGGACAGGCAUGUGCUCGUCAGCUCGUGGCGGGAGCUUUAGAUGUCCGGACAAGCGCA
rnacentral:rRNA from 1 species